AGAACGAACGCUGGCGGCAUGCCUAACACAUGCAAGUCGAACGAGACCUUCGGGUCUAGUGGCGCACGGGUGCGUAACGCGUGGGAAUCUGCCCUUAGGUACGGAAUAACAGUGAGAAAUUACUGCUAAUACCGUAUGAUGUCUUCGAACCAAAGAUUUAUCGCCUAGGGAUGAGCCCGCGUAGGAUUAGCUAGUUGGUGGGGUAAAGGCCUACCAAGGCGACGAUCCUUAGCUGGUCUGAGAGGAUGAUCAGCCACACUGGGACUGAGACACGGCCCAGACUCCUACGGGAGGCAGCAGUGGGGAAUAUUGGACAAUGGGCGAAAGGCCUGAUCCAGCAAUGCCGCGUGAGUGAAGAAGGCCUUCGGGUUGUAAAGCUCUUUUACCCGGGAAGAUAAUGACUGUACCGGAGAAUAAGCCCGGCUAACUCCGUGCCAGCAGCCGC
rnacentral:rRNA from 1 species